rnacentral:rRNA from 1 species
UUAAGCGACUAAGCGUACACGGUGGAUGCCCUGGCAGUCAGAGGCGAUGAAGGACGUGCUAAUCUGCGAUAAGCGUCGGUAAGGUGAUAUGAACCGUUAUAACCGGCGAUUUCCGAAUGGGGAAACCCAGUGUGAUUCGUCACACUAUCAUUACGUGAAUACAUAGCGUAAUGAAGCGAACCGGGGGAACUGAAACAUCUAAGUACCCCGAGGAAAAGAAAUCAACCGAGAUUCCCCCAGUAGCGGCGAGCGAACGGGGAGCAGCCCAGAGUCUGAAUCAGCUUGUGUGUUAGUGGAACGGUCUGGAAAGUCCGACGGUACAGGGUGAUAGUCCCGUACACCAAAAUGCACAGGUUGUGAACUCGAAGAGUAGGGCGGGACACGUGGUAUCCUGUCUGAAUAUGGGGGGACCAUCCUCCAAGGCUAAAUACUCCUGACUGACCGAUAGUGAACCAGUACCGUGAGGGAAAGGCGAAAAGAACCCCGGCGAGGGGAGUGAAAAAGAACCUGAAACCGUGUACGUACAAGCAGUGGGAGCCUCUUUAUGGGGUGACUGCGUACCUUUUGUAUAAUGGGUCAGCGACUUAUAUUCUGUAGCAAGGUUAACCGUAUAGGGGAGCCGAAGGGAAACCGAGUCUUAACUGGGCGUUAAGUUGCAGGGUAUAGACCCGAAACCCGGUGAUCUAGCCAUGGGCAGGUUGAAGGUUGGGUAACACUAACUGGAGGACCGAACCGACUAAUGUUGAAAAAUUAGCGGAUGACUUGUGGCUGGGGGUGAAAGGCCAAUCAAACCGGGAGAUAGCUGGUUCUCCCCGAAAGCUAUUUAGGUAGCGCCUCGUGAACUCAUCUUCGGGGGUAGAGCACUGUUUCGGCUAGGGGGUCAUCCCGACUUACCAACCCGAUGCAAACUGCGAAUACCGAAGAAUGUUAUCACGGGAGACACACGGCGGGUGCUAACGUCCGUCGUGAAGAGGGAAACAACCCAGACCGCCAGCUAAGGUCCCAAAGUCAUGGUUAAGUGGGAAACGAUGUGGGAAGGCACAGACAGCCAGGAUGUUGGCUUAGAAGCAGCCAUCAUUUAAAGAAAGCGUAAUAGCUCACUGGUCGAGUCGGCCUGCGCGGAAGAUGUAACGGGGCUAAACCAUGCACCGAAGCUGCGGCAGCGACACUAUGUGUUGUUGGGUAGGGGAGCGUUCUGUAAGCCGUUGAAGGUGUACUGUGAGGUAUGCUGGAGGUAUCAGAAGUGCGAAUGCUGACAUAAGUAACGAUAAUGCGGGUGAAAAACCCGCACGCCGGAAGACCAAGGGUUCCUGUCCAACGUUAAUCGGGGCAGGGUGAGUCGACCCCUAAGGCGAGGCCGAAAGGCGUAGUCGAUGGGAAACAGGUUAAUAUUCCUGUACUUGGUGUUACUGCGAAGGGGGGACGGAGAAGGCUAUGUUAGCCGGGCGACGGUUGUCCCGGUUUAAGCAUGUAGGCGGAGGUUCCAGGUAAAUCCGGUACCUUUUAACGCUGAGGUGUGAUGACGAGGCACUACGGUGCUGAAGUAACAAAUGCCCUGCUUCCAGGAAAAGCCUCUAAGCAUCAGGUAACACGAAAUCGUACCCCAAACCGACACAGGUGGUCAGGUAGAGAAUACCAAGGCGCUUGAGAGAACUCGGGUGAAGGAACUAGGCAAAAUGGUGCCGUAACUUCGGGAGAAGGCACGCUGAUAUGUAGGUGAAGUGAUUUACUCAUGGAGCUGAAAUCAGUCGAAGAUACCAGCUGGCUGCAACUGUUUAUUAAAAACACAGCACUGUGCAAACACGAAAGUGGACGUAUACGGUGUGACGCCUGCCCGGUGCCGGAAGGUUAAUUGAUGGGGUUAUCCGUAAGGAGAAGCUCUUGAUCGAAGCCCCGGUAAACGGCGGCCGUAACUAUAACGGUCCUAAGGUAGCGAAAUUCCUUGUCGGGUAAGUUCCGACCUGCACGAAUGGCGUAAUGAUGGCCAGGCUGUCUCCACCCGAGACUCAGUGAAAUUGAACUCGCUGUGAAGAUGCAGUGUACCCGCGGCAAGACGGAAAGACCCCGUGAACCUUUACUAUAGCUUGACACUGAACACUGGUCCUUGAUGUGUAGGAUAGGUGGGAGGCUUUGAAGUGUGGACGCCAGUCUGCAUGGAGCCAUCCUUGAAAUACCACCCUUUAAUGGCUGGUGUUCUAACGUGGACCCGUAAUCCGGGUUGCGGACAGUGUCUGGUGGGUAGUUUGACUGGGGCGGUCUCCUCCUAAAGAGUAACGGAGGAGCACGAAGGUUAGCUAAUCCUGGUCGGACAUCAGGAGGUUAGUGCAAAGGCAUAAGCUAGCUUGACUGCGAGAGUGACGGCUCGAGCAGGUGCGAAAGCAGGUCUUAGUGAUCCGGUGGUUCUGAAUGGAAGGGCCAUCGCUCAACGGAUAAAAGGUACUCCGGGGAUAACAGGCUGAUACCGCCCAAGAGUUCAUAUCGACGGCGGUGUUUGGCACCUCGAUGUCGGCUCAUCACAUCCUGGGGCUGAAGUAGGUCCCAAGGGUAUGGCUGUUCGCCAUUUAAAGUGGUACGCGAGCUGGGUUUAGAACGUCGUGAGACAGUUCGGUCCCUAUCUGCCGUGGGCGCUGGAGAAUUGAGGGGGGCUGCUCCUAGUACGAGAGGACCGGAGUGGACGCAUCACUGGUGUUCGGGUUGUCAUGCCAAUGGCAUUGCCCGGUAGCUAAAUGCGGAAGAGAUAAGUGCUGAAAGCAUCUAAGCACGAAACUUGCCCCGAGAUGAGUUCUCCCUGAGACUAUAAGUCUCCUGAAGGAACGUUGAAGACGACGACGUUGAUAGGUCGGGUGUGUAAGUGUAGCGAUACAUUGAGCUAACCGAUACUAAUGAACCGUGAGGCUUAACCU